rnacentral:rRNA from 1 species
AAUCAACGCUGGCGGCGUGCCUCAGACAUGCAAGUCGAACGCGAAAGUUCCCUUCGGGGGAUGAGUAGAGUGGCGCACGGGUGAGUAACACGUAGGUAAUCUACCUUUGGAUGGGGAAUAACAACCGGAAACGGUUGCUAAUACCGCAUAAUGCAGCGGCACCUAAUGGUGACAGUUGUUAAAGCGGGGGAUCGAAAGACCUCGCGUCUGAAGAGGAGCCUGCGGCGGAUUAGCUAGNGGUAAGGUAACGGCUUACCAAGGCGACGAUCCGUAGCCGGCCUGAGAGGAUGAUCAGCCACACUGGAACUGAGACACGGUCCAGACUCCUACGGGAGGCAGCAGUGGGGAAUUUUGGACAAUGGGGGCAACCCUGAUCCAGCCAUUCCGCGUGAGUGAAGAAGGCCUGG